rnacentral:rRNA from 1 species
AGCGGCAGGCUUAACACAUGCAAGUCGAGGGGCAGCACGGGUAGCAAUACCUGGUGGCGACCGGCGCAAGGGUGCGUAACGCGUGAGCAACAUGCCCUAUACAGGGGGAUAAUCCAGGGAAACUUGGUCUAAUAUCCCAUAGUAUUUAGAGGAGGCAUCUUCUAUAAAUUAAAGCUUCGGUGGUAUAGGAUUGGCUCGCGUGACAUUAGCUAGAUGGUGAGGUAACGGCUCACCAUGGCAAUGAUGUCUAGGGGUUCUGAGAGGAAGGCCCCCACACUGGGACUGAGACACGGCCCAGACUCCUACGGGAGGCAGCAGUGAGGAAUAUUGGACAAUGGAUGGAAAUCUGAUCCAGCCAUGCCGCGUGCAGGAAGACAGCCCUAUGGGUUGUAAACUGCUUUUAUAUGGGAGCAAUAAGGUCUACGUGUAGACUGAUGAGAGUACCAUAUGAAUAAGCAUCGGCUAACUCCGUG